CUGGAGUCUAAUUAGCGUUUAGGCUUCUCAUUGAGAAAUCGUUUAUCCUAUUCUUCAGGGCCAGCGUGGAUGGAGGGAGAGAAGGCGCCGAGGGUUUGGGCAGGUGGCACCCGAGGCCCCAGUUGGGUGCGGGUGGAAAAGAGGUCCCUCGAUCACUGGAGGUCACACCCGUGGAUGAUGGAGGGUGAGCGUGUACCCUGCCUGUGUGCGCUGGUGUGCCCAAAGCACACGAUGGACACACGGAUCCUGUGCUCAGACGUCUACACCAGGGACACCGUGGGUGUGCCGUGUGUCUCCUGGGUGCUCAUCGCUCUCUCUCCCCAGCGGUCUGGCCUCCACUCUGCCUUCAGGGGUGCUUCAUACAGUUCUUCCUGGCACCUCCCGGGAUGUGACUCUGGGCCCCGUGGCCAUCAUGUCCCUCCUGGUCUCCUUCUACACCUUCCGUGACCCCCCCCUGUGCUGUGCUGCUGGCCUUCCUGUGGGGCUGCAUGCAGUUAGCCAUGGGCUCCUGGGCUUGGGGUUCCUGCUGAAACCCUGCCCCACCAUCUCCGGCCCCGUCAGUCAUUCAAGGUCUCACCUCUGCUGCUACCGUCACCAUCGGCCUUGGGCAGAUCAAGUUGUAUCCUGAAGGCAUCUGUCACUUCUGGAAUCCACUCCAACCACGAGGAGGAGAGUCCCUCCAAUGCCUAUGAUAUGGACUCUUCAGGAGUUUUUAGUUUUAAAAGUGGGAAUCUGGAAGCCUCAGUUCUUCAUGACUCC
rnacentral:lncRNA from 1 species